CCUAGCCAGCUUGGGGGACCCCAGUCCACACUCCCGCCCUGGCAGCGGGCAUGCCCAUCCCAGCAAGCCUGCAGGGCCCUUGAUUGUAAGUCACCCCACUCACCCCGGGCUGCUUCUCACCGCUGUUUCCUGUGCUCAAGUGGGAGUCCAGACCCCCGAGAACCAGGAUCCAGUGUCACUGAUCACCAGGUCACCAGGGGCAGCUCCUACAGGCCUGGGGUCUGCCUGUGCCUCCUGUCGGGGAUGGCGGCCCCUUGAGGACAGAGGCCUCCUGUGGAUUGACACUGUGCCCUGUGUCCCCAGCUCGGGCAGCUAAGCAUGAGUGCUUGGAGAGCCGCCAGGCGGACUUUACCUGCGUCUCUGGAAGCAAUUUGAAGAGACUACUGGACACUGGAGGGGUCCGUGUGGGACCCGGAAGCCAAAGGAUCAGGUUCACCGAAGCCUGGACUUCCUUGGUGGGCCCCCAGCCCCUCUCAGUGGCCAGCAGGCAUCCCCAGCUGGGCCCUGCGGGCUGUGCUGCCCGGCGACUCCAGAGUCCUCCCACGCCCACUUGGACGGGGUCCUCCCAGGGCUCUGGCAGCCAAGGUUUGGGAAAUUAGGCUGAUGGCAGGACCACCUCCCGGAGCAGCCACCAGCAUGAAAAGAAAGAUUUGAGAACGCACCUGCAGGCCGUCAGGGCUCGGCAAGUGGGUGCCCUGCCACCUUCAGAGAACAUCCUUGAGUGCAGCCAACACAUGAAUUUUACUCGGAGAACCGACGCAGAACUGCAAAAAGUGGCUCACUGCUGUGUCUCCAGCUAAGGAGAACUCUUGGCACUCAGUGAAUACUUGGUGAAUGAGGAAAAGGCGUGAUGCUGUCACUCGCUUUCUCAAAACACUCAAAUGCCUUCCUAUUGCAGCUAAAAUAUAUAAAAUCUAGACUUUUUUGCUC